rnacentral:lncRNA from 1 species
UUAUAUGCUUCAUUCAUUGCCAUGGUCGCGAGUGGGGAUGACACCGAAAAGGCUCUGAAUGUAGCAAGAGACUCGGUAGAAAAGAUAGAACAAGAGAUUAAGGGGAAGAAAUUCUUUGGAGGGGACAACAUUGGAUACCUUGACAUUGCACUUGGAUGGAUAUCUUACUGGAUCCCUGUUUAUGAGGAAGUUGGAUCAAUGCAGAUAUUAGAUCCUUUGAGAUUCCCAGCCAUCAAUGCAUGGAUGACCAAUUUCCUCAACCACCCUGUGAUCAAGGACAGAUUGCCUCCUAGAGAUGACAUGGUUGCUUACUUCCACACUCGCAAGAAGAUUGUGUCUCCUACUUACCAUGACUUGAUGAAGUAUCUUUGAACCUCAUAUUUUUCAAGAGUAGUUCAUAUCUAUCUUUGAAUAAGAGGCUAUUUAUUUUAUUAUUUUCUCUCGGGUAUUUGAGUUGUAUUGCCUUUACAAAUGUUAUGAAAUAAUGGUGGAAAACUAUUCUGGUUUUUGCAUGUAUACACCAAUGUAUCUACAGAGUCUAAAUUAAUUGAUAAAUACGCUUCAAAUAAUAAAUAACAUCCCUCAAGAUUGCAACUUAGGAGUAUAGGACCUACCCUAUGUUGGUGGCACCAUGUUUGAAGUCACAAAGAAUUAGUAUAGUUGUUUGUAUUGCUUCUGCAAAUAUUAUGUUUCAAUGGUACAAUAAAACCAUUGUGAAAGCUUCAAUACAUCAAAUCUCUAGCUAGUUUUGAAGUUCAAAGGAUAAAAGGAGAAAGAAAAAUUCUAGGAAAAAUCAAUUGUUAUUUACAAGAAGGCCAACUAACUAAACUAACUGUAUGUAAGCUAGUUGCCAAUCAAGAAAGAAACUAGUUCCUAAAAGCCAAGUUGCUAAAAAAAUUAUAAAGGUCAAAGUAGAAAUCACGUGGAGCAUACUUUUCCAAGAUCCACACAUACAAAAUUUGUCGGAUAGUACGAAGAAAGAUAUGAAUGCAUGAACCACUUUUGCAUAUAUAAUAGUGAAAGAUGAGAAGGGAAUAAUUGAAGUAAAGUGGCAGAUUUGGAGCAAGACGAUGGAAAGAAGAGAAGAUGUGAAGCUGUUCAACUUUCAUGCGAGUCCAUUUGGUCAGAGGGUGAUUUGGGCUCUGAAACUAAAGGGUGUUGAUUACGAGUGCAUAGAAGAAGACAUCUUCAACAAGAGCACUCUCCUCCUUGAGAUGAACCCCGUUCACAAGAAGGUGCCUAUUCUCGUUCAUUGCAACAAACCAAUUGCAGAAUCACUUGUGAUCCUUGAAUACAUCGAUGAAACAUGGAAGCAGUAUCCGUUGAUGCCUCAGAAUCCUUAUCAAAGAGCUCAUGCUCGCUUUUGGGCUAAUUUUGCUGAACAUAAGGUAUUAUUAUAUUGUUGGUGUUGUUGUUUAAUGUUUUGAAAUUCAGCUUUAACUCUAUGGAAUAGCUUUUGGACGCUGCGUGGAUGGCAAUGCGUAGUAGCGGGGAAGAACAAGAAAAGGCUGUGAAUGAGGCAAGAGAAGCAGUGGAGAAGUUAGAAGAAGAAAUUAAGGGGAAGAGAUUCUUUGGAAGGGACUACAUCGGUUUCCUUGACAUUGCAAUUGGAUGGAUCUCUUACUGGAUUCCUGUUUGGGAGGAAGUUGGAUCAAUGAAGAUAUUAGACCCUUUGAAAUUCCCAGCCAUCAAUGCGUGGAUCACCAAUUUCCUCAGCCACCCUACCAUCAACCACACUCUGCCCCAAAGAGACAAAAUGGUUGUUUACUACCACAGUCGCAGAAAGGAAGUGUCUCCAUCUUGAUGUCUACACUUAUUCCAUUAUGAAUAAAAAGAAUAAACUCUACUUUCCGUUACUUUUCUCCUUUGGUUCACCUUUGAUAAUCCAGAAAUAUUAUCGUGGCAAUGACAUAUAUAAUAUUAAAAAGUUAUGUAAAAAAUUAUAUAAUGUAAGAUAUAUUAUAAAAAUAUAUCGACAGAGAAUAUAUUUUAAAGUACAAAAAAUAUGUGUAUUUUUUUAUUAUUGAAGUGGUCGAUUUAUCGAUAUUAGAAUCUGUGUUAAAUUUUUUAGCAUUUUUUUAAUAUAAUUAAAAGAUAAUUAACAAGAAAUCCAUCUUUCAUUUUGUUUCUUAGUCUUUCUUCAUAAUAUUUAUAGAUGAAAAAGAUCUUUCAGUUGUAGUAGUUGAAACAGAAAAAAUUAAUAUCAAAUGAAUCAAGAAAGACAAUAAAAAAAAUCUACUUUGUGGAUAAUGUAAGAUGUAUUAUAAAAAUAUAUCGAUAGAGAAUAUAUUUUAAAGUACUAAAAAUGCAUGUACUUUUUACUAACGAAGUGGUCGAUUUUUCGUAUCAUAAAAUUUAUCGAUAAAAGAAUCUGUGUCAAAUUUUUCAGCAAUUUUCUUUUUAAUAUAAUUAAAAGAUAAUUAGCAAAAAAUUCAUCUUUCAUCUUGUUUCUGAGUUAUUUUUCACAAUAUUCAUAGCUGAAAAAGAUCUCUCAGUUGUAGCAGUUGAAACAGCGAGAAUUAAUACCAAAUGAAUCAAGAAGGACGAUCAUAAGAAGAAAAAGAAUCCACUUUAUGGAAUUUGAAAAAUUUUAUUUAAUUAAAAAAUAUUAGUAAUAAUAUCUUUUUUUAUAUUUUUUUAAGGAAAAGUCUAGGAAGCCAGCAAUUUUAUCAAAUUCUAGCCAGCAUGUAACCAUAAAAAAAGAGUUAGCCAUUGGAUGAAAUCUCACAUAAUCUCACACCAUUAAAAGCCUCAUUGAUGGCUAUUUUGAUGACUAUAAAUCCCAAAAGUUGCUGGCCCCCUAACAUUCCUCUUUUUUUAAUAUUAUUACUUACUUUUUAGAUAUUAGUGUUAGGAAAUUAUUUUAAUUUCCUAAUUUAUUUGUGGACAAUACAUAUAUUAAUUGUAAUCACAAAUUAUGCUAUUUCAAAUUAAAUGACUUAUACAAUGAUGAUCUCAUUUAUUGUUAUAAAUGCUAAUUGAAUAAGUCAUUAUUACUUUUGAUUUGGAAUUAAAUGAGAAUAAAACCAGAUAUUAUUUUUUGUUCCUUAGAUAAUUAUCUUUUUGGAUUUUAGAUAUAUUAUCUUUUGGGUUUUAGAUACUAUUUUAUUUGGGCUUAAGGGUUUAAUAGGUGCUAUGCUCAAAUAUAAAUAGGCCUACAGGGUUUCGGUCCCCAAUAUACCAAGGCCGCCUUUGUUGCUCUUUCCCCAUCAAAAGAGUUGCAGUUCAGUCACUUAGGAAUACAGAAGGUUUUGGUUGAGGAAGAUCGAAAGAACCACAAGAUCCAAAUUCUUCCAUUAAUUUCUGACUCUUAUGAGUAAAGAUACGCUUCUGCAUUAUGUUAUAUUUUUGGUGAUUCAAUAUGGAUGAUCUAAGAUAUUGAAAUUAAUUUAUUCCAACAAUUAUAAAUCAUUAAUAUUUAAAUUGGAUACAUAGAACAAGAUGUAUUCAACAAGAGCACCCUCUACCAUUGAGUAAUAGCUCAAAUGGCAUAGUCUCCCCAUACUCAAUUAAGAGAUUGCGGGUUCGAAUCUCCUAUCUUUGGUUCUCCUUCCGAUCCUUAAUUACACGACACUGCCUUGUAUGCGAAUUUUUAGAUAACUGUUCUUGCUCUCACUUCUGCUUCCAUUCUAACAUUUCUUCAAUAUUUCGAAUUAACUUAUCCUACUCGAAAAUAUUUUUCGACUAACAAUUAUAUUAUCCUAUGAUCUAAUCUAAAAUAAAUUAAGCCAAGGAUCAGAAUACAGAAUAUAAUAGAGUAGUACAGUUGGUCAAACACCCUUGAAGGAGAGAAAUUCGAAAGAAGAUGGACACGUGGCUGGCUAUUGAGACAAUGUGGUGAGGAAGUGCUACUGAUUAUCCAAAGGAAUAUGCCCUUUGGUCAAAAAUUGCCGUCCAAAAUGACACUGAAAAUUUACACAAAUUACGUGCUGAACCAAUCAUGACAUGAAUUAUAAGUUUCUUGCAUAUAUAUAUAUAUACAUAGAAGGAACAAAAUAGAGUGCAAAACAAAGAAAAUGGGAAGCAAAGAUGUGAAGGUGGUUAGCUAUUGGGCGAGUCCGUUCGGUAAAAGAGCUGAGUGGGCAUUGAAACUGAAGGGUGUGGAAUAUGACUACAUAGAAGAAGAUAUAUACAACAAGAGCAACCUCCUUAUAGAAGCAUCUUUAUAGAAGGAUCCCUGUAUGUAAAAGUGGAACGUGUUGUUGCUUUAUAUUUUAUAUUUUAAUUAAUUUUAGUCGCUAAUUUUAAUAUUUAUCUACCAUAUUUGAGAAAAAAAUUAUAAAGGUGAAAGUAGAAAUCACGUGGAGAAUACUUUUCCAAGAUCCAGAGAUAAAAAAUUUGUCGGAUAGUACGAAGAAAGAGAUGAAUGCAUGAACCACUUUUGCAUAUAUAAUAGUGAAACAUGAGAAGGAAAUAAUUGAAGUGGUAAAUUUGGUGCAACACAAUAGGAACAAGUACUCAAUUUGGUUUAAAAAUUAUACUAUCAAUGACAACGAUAUAUUAUGAAUUUAUCUAAUCUUUUAAAAUAAAAAAAAUAAUAUAUUAUACGACAGUACGACACUGGUCUGUGUUGAUAAAACAUUGGACAAAUCAGAAAAGAAAGAAAAUCACGCGGUUGAACAUUACAGAAAAUUCAAUGCCAAUUAAACAUUUAGUCAAGAUUGAAGUCUCUACAAUAACAAUGAUAUAAAAGUGAGACAGAAAAUUAAGAUAGGGUGUGAGGAGAAGAACUAAGCAACCAAAACAAGCAAAGUAGAAGAACAAGAUAAUGGGAAGCGAAGAUGUGAAGGUGCUGUGCUUUUGGGCGAGUCCAUUUUCCUUACGGGUUGAAUGGGCUCUGAAACUGAAGGGUGUGGAAUAUGAGUACAUAGAAGAAGAUAUAUACAACAAGAACACCCUCCUUCUGGAGCUGAACCCCAUUCACAAGAAGGUUCCGGUUCUUGUUCAUGGCAGCAAACCAAUAGUUGAGUCAUUUGUCAUCCUUGAAUACAUCGAUGAAACAUGGAAGCAGCAUCCAUUGCUUCCUCAGGAUCCUUAUCAAAGAGCUCAUGCUCGCUUUUGGGCUAAUUUUGCUGAACAUAAGGUAUUCUUGGUGUUGUUUUGGAAUUCUAGUAACAAACUUUAUCUUUCAAGCCUGCUUGCAUAGCACAUUCUCAAUGUUUCUCUGUUCCUAUUCGAUAUCUUAGGUCUUCAAUAACCAACCUAAAACUAUCACUAACUAUGCUUUGUAUAUAUGGAACAGCUAUUAUAUGCUUCAUUCAUUGCCAUGGUCGCGAGUGGGGAUGACACCGAAAAGGCUCUGAAUGUAGCAAGAGACUCGGUAGAAAAGAUAGAACAAGAGAUUAAGGGGAAGAAAUUCUUUGGAGGGGACAACAUUGGAUACCUUGACAUUGCACUUGGAUGGAUAUCUUACUGGAUCCCUGUUUAUGAGGAAGUUGGAUCAAUGCAGAUAUUAGAUCCUUUGAGAUUCCCAGCCAUCAAUGCAUGGAUGACCAAUUUCCUCAACCACCCUGUGAUCAA